GGGGCGGCCGCUGUGACCUCCGGGCGUUGCAGACGCCGCCCCCCGCGGCCGGCGAUAGGUCCCUCUCCACCUAGGCGACCUGAGGAGCGGGGCGGGGAGAGCAGACGCUGCGGCGCGCGGCAGCGGGAUGUGGGCUCCGGGCGGCCCCCCGGAACCCGCGGGCUGGGACCGCCGCAGAGUGGGCGCGAGGCUGCGCGCGGCGCUGGCUGGGCUGCAGGAGCUGCAGGGGCUGCGCGCUGCGCAGCAGGCACGGGUGCGGGGUGCCCUGGCCAUGCAGCCCGCGCCCGCCGGUUCCCGCCGCCCCGGCGGCCAGGAGUUGCGGCUGGAGGCGGCGCUGGCCGCGCUGCAGGAGCAGCUGUCCCGGCUGAGACGGCAGGACACUGGCCUGAAGACCCACUUGGACCAGCUGGACCAGCAGAUCAGUGAGCUGCAGCUGGGCGUGCGCAGGUCUUCUGCCGAGGUCCUGGACAGCGACAGCAGGCCCAGCUCAGGCUUCUAUGAGCUGAGCGAUGCGGGCUCCUGCUCCCUGUCCACUUCCUGUGCCUCCGUGUGCAGUGACCGCCUAUCGCCCUCGCUGGGCAGUCUGCUGCCUGCAGUCUCCAUGGCGAGGCCCAGCAUGGGGGACUGGCGACCUCGGUCUGCUGAUGAGACCACUGUGCCAGCAUGGAGACCUCGGCCCAUCAAGGAGAGUGACAGGCUCCUGGACAGCAUGGAGGACACUGGCCAGCCCCGGGGCAUAUUCCGGCCCAGGCCAGUGUCUACAGGCGAUCUCGAGCGAGUCCUCCCAGUCAACAUGGGGCUCCCGAGCGUCGACCAGGAUGCCACACCCCCCUCCCAACUCUGCCAGGGGACAGACGUUCCGUCCCCCGAGCUGGACCCCAAGUACCAGUGCCACCUAGUGUCCAGAGGUGGCCGGGAGGUGUACCUGUACCCCAGCCCCCUGCACGCAGUGGCUCUGCAGAGCCCCCUGUUCGCACUGACUAAGGAGACCCCGCAGCUAGACAGCCAUUUGCCCCCCAGGAACCCUCCUUUGGGCCCCAGGGGUCUGAGCACAACCCCUGCCGAGCCUGUCCUGGAGGCAGGUCCAGCUGGAGCCUACAUUGACAGGCUGCUGCGUCUGCCAAGCAGAGAGGCCCCCUCAGCGGGUGUUGGGGGGGACCAGGGACCCUCAGGACGUGAAGCAUCCCCAUCCCCCCGGAAGCCAGAUGCCCAGAGACUAGUCAGUGGAGAUGGAGCUGGAAAGCUGCUCUGUGCCCCAGGGAGAGGGGGCCUGGGAGGGGCAGCUCAGAGCAGGCGCAGCAGUGGACACAGCCCUGGGCUGCGGGGGCCUGCACCCCUCCCGCACGCCCAGUCCCCCAGACGCCCCCCGGAGCUGGGGCCCGAGCCCUGGAACAGCCGCACCUACAGGGAAGACCCGGUGGGCCCCGCUCCCUGCCCCCAGGCCCCGCAGCCCCAUGGGGACUGUAGCCCAUGCACCUCCUCCCCCUCCGGGAGCGUGGACUGUGAGAGUCCCCCUAAGGCCCCAGGGCAUCUUGUCCACCCUCCCUGCACCGGCAGCGAAGCCUCCCGGACAGGGCUGAAGAUGGGCCACCCCAAGCCUAAGCCUGUGAAGGUCAGGAGGAAGGCCAGUGACAAGACGCCGAGGCUGGGAACGCAGGCGCCACUGCCGCCAGAGAGACCUGGGGGUGUCCACCCCGCCCCCCAGCUGCCCCCAGAGUAUGAGCCCACACACAGGCCCCAGGAGGGAGGGCUCAGGAGGAGGCCUGUGCUGGCCGGGGGCACUCCCGGACGGUCCUGCUCCGAGUCCACUCUGUACCCUGUGCCCUUCUUCGUCCCCCUGCUGGUGGCCCAGCGGGAGAGCUACCGGGCCUCGUCCCACGCCCUGUCCUCCACUGAGGCUGCCCAGCUUUGUGCAGCCACCAGGAGGAAGCAGCACAGGUGGCUGUCCACUGUGGAGAUCUCAGCCGAGGCCCACCCGGCCAGCGGUCAGGAGCCCAGCCUGGGGCCCCAGAGGCCCCCAGCCAGGAGAGCAGGUGGCCUGCAAGCCCAGGGCAGGCCCACGCUGGCCCGCCAGGAUGCCUGUGCCAGGAGCCAGCCGGACCCCUCCGAGCCCUCGGCCGAGUGUGCUUCGCUGCUGCAGGUCACCACCGCAGAGAGCAGCGAGGAGGCGGCCAGCGACCACACCGCCAACCGCUUUGGGGACGGGGAGUCCAGCAGCAGCGACUCGGAGGGCUGCUUCCAGAGCCGCAGCGGCCGCCUGGGGGUGGGAGGUGCAGCUGCCAGAGACGGGGAGCUGGCCCGGCCCUGGCUGGCCCUCCAGCAGCCCCCACGGGCCCCGGCAGGUGCAAGGCCUCCCCUGCCCCCUGUGCCUAAGCUGUGCCGCAUCAAAGCCUCCAGGGCCCUGAAGAAAAAGAUCCGCAGGUUCCAGCCAGCGGCCCUGAAGGUCAUGACCAUGGUGUGAGGCGGUCCCCUGACAAGCCUGGCCACGGCACAGAGGCCUGGCCGCACUGCGUGGACAGUGUGGGUUCGCAGGUCACCUGCCAGCUUGCUGACCUCCUGAGUGGCCGUCCGAGGAGCCCCUCAGGUGGUGCUGGCCCUGGGAUACAGCUGCAUGCUCCGUGGGGUGAUUUUUCUUCCCCAGCAGAUUUGCGAGGACUUUGAAGUUGCAGAGGAUACAGCCUCUGCCAGCAGCCCCCUCCUCUCCCCUGUGCCCCCUUGACCCACUUCAGUGUCUGUAAGCCAUUCCCCCCAAACACCAUUACUUUAGAGACGUGGCGGACUCUGUGCCGGUGCUGGAUUCGAGUGUGAACUCCGUGUUAAGCUCUCAGUGUGAAUAAACUACCGCACUGCCAUUGUCCUGGCCAGGGGAGCCCACUGUCUGCUCUGUCUGCAGCCGCUCCUCCUGGUCCCUGUGCGAGAGGCACUGGGUGCUCCUUCCUGCUCUGGCCCCGAGGGCGGGCAGGCGGGUGACGAAAGUGGGGUCACGUUCUAGGUCCCAUACGGGUGUUGUAGGAAAAUAACUUUCUUUAGGGUGUCGGUUUUUCCAAGCAAACUCCUCUCCGCUUUUCAAGGAGAAAGAUGGAGGCUUUUCAGCUUAGCUGCUCUGUGCCUCAGUCUGCGCAGCCCACACCCGGCUUUUUCCUGGGUGAUCACAGCCGCCUCUAGGUGCACUCUGGCCCAGAGCUGCAGAAGGGGUUGGGGGCACCAAAGUCCUCACACUUCUGGACCCCUCCCUAAUUUGGGGAAGAAACUCUUAAGAAAAUCAGCUGAAAAUAGUAGUGAAUUUUAUUAUACUAGUUGCCAAUUAUUCCUGGAACAUGUCGCUGGCUCCAGGAUGCAGUUUGAAGAGCCUGACAUUUUAAACACCGAUUAGCAUCUUAAGAAGAGGAGUCCCCCUCUUUUCUGUAAGGCUUUCAGUGCAGACCACUCCAAAACGCAGGCAGCACAGGGCAGAGCAGACCUGAAGGGUGCACGCCUCCUUGCCCACGCAGAUGCCCGCCUGUGCUUCCUGGAACUGCCUGCCAGAGUCUUGUGCUUUUUAAAAAGCUGCCUUGAAGUUUCAAGGAUGCUUCAAGCCCACUUGUGUCUGGGCUUCCCGUAAGAGACAUCACUCCGGACAGUCUACACACACGGUCCGACUCCAUCCCAGGUGAGGGAAACUGGCUUUGCCAGGACUCCUGCCUGCAAGGCCACUGAGGCAGCCUGGUAGUCCCGCUGGCAGGUCCACAUUUGCUCAGCCGCUCUGCAUCCCCAGCUGGGCGUCCUGGAGAGGGCUGCUGCCUCUGCCUCCUGGACAUCUUCUGUGGCCUCUGCUGGAGCUUCCACGGUUGGAAGCUUCGAGCAAACUACAAGCAAAGUGCAGACCUCUUGUUCCUUGUGAGGUGCGUCCCAUCCUGUGUCACCUUCCGGGGGCAGUCUGUGUCCCUGGCAGGCAGAGUGCAGGCAGCACAGAGGGGAACCUGAACCUGCAUCAGGGCCUGUCUGCAGCCCUGCAAACCAGCCAUGGAAACCGUGCCACACCACCCCAAAGCAGUGGGCAGCAAGGGUCCUUGGUGGCCAGACCGUGCGGAUCAGCCCACCUGUGUCUUCCCUGCUCCCUGUCCACCCUGUCUUUCUCAGCAGCUUGCUCUCUCCUUGUCCACCCCCCUUCUGCCUCUUGCCUGUCCUUAAAGAAAAAUCAUCCAGUGACACUUGCUGAAACAAGGGAGGAAGACGCUGGGCAGGACUAUCCUGACAGGACAGGGGAUCCUCAGGGCAGGGUCUCAACUCUGAGCAGCACAGGCCAGAGGGGCUCUAUGGCCAAGCAGCAGACAGGGGCUCUGGACAGGAAAUGACGGAGAGGGGACACCAGGGGUUGGGUACUGUGGCCAAAUCCUCCCAACAGGAUUCUUCCUGAAGACGGACCUGGUCCUCAGACUUCCCCUGGGCAGAGCCCAUCAGACCUCAGGGCAGGGCUUCUUACUGAAGUGACUCAGCAGGCGCUGGCCGAGGUGGGAUUUUACAGGAACACUCAGUGGUGGGCCGGGGAAGCUGCGUAGCCCCACAGAGGGAUCGGAGCUCUGUCUCAUGGUCUCUCAGUGGGGCCGACAGACAUUUUGAUUUCUGAGCUAGACCCUGGCUUUUGGCUCUCAGUUCCUCUCAAGAGGUCUGAAGCAAGUGGAUACAAAUCCCAUGAUUCCUCCUAGUCCUCGUCCUCCUGCCUGUGUGCCAGGUCCUCGCUCAGCAAUGAGCAGGGCCACGUGACUGUGGGGCAGUGGGCAGCUUCAGGACUGGCCGAACUGGCUCCUGUCAUAAAUGAGGUUGAUGGUAGCUUAGGUUCGGAAUAAGGAGCAAAUCGAUGGCAUUGAAAACCGAACCCUGGCCUUCUGGGCUCCGCAGAGUGCCUCCAGCCAGGCACAGCCUCCCUCUGGGUCGAAUCAUCCCUCAGGCUCUCCAGACGAGUGGACAGGCUGCGGUGUGGGCGCUGGUGCAGGGGGGACCCAAGGAGAUACUUUACGUACUUGUUACAGGGCACCGUGACCCAGGCCUGUGAUCCCAGGGAUAGGAGGCUGAGGCAGGAGGAGGCAAAGUUUGAGGCCAACCUGGGCAACUUAGUGAGACCCGCUCUCAAAACAAAAUAACCAGAGCUGGGAGGUGGCUCCCUGGCCGACUUCACGUGUGCGUGAGGCUCAGAUCCGAGUCCCAGCCCUGCAGCCAAACAACAGAACAGAAAACGUCCAAGUCAGAGCCCCAGGGACAAGAAACGUGGCACAGACGUCGAGGGCGGAGAUGUUGCCCAGGAAACCACCCGGCCGCCAGCGCAGUCCCGCCAGCAUGGUCGUCUUCGAGACAGGCAGGGGUGUGACCACUCGCACGGAAGAGGAUGAGCAGAACCCGCAGACAGGCUGCGGCCUGGCACCUGGGGACUCAGGCAGCACCGAUGGUGCACCCAGAGGGAGACGAGCUCACCCACCCCUCCUGCGUUAAGUAGAGAGCCGAGGAUUCAGCCUCAGGGCCCGUCAGAAAUCCUUUGAAACUAACCCCCAGCACGCUUGAAAUAUGCUAGCAAAAAGAGAGGUCAACUCUAGGUCAGAGCGAGGUAGAAAGUAAAUAAGCUUAAUUGUUGUGUUAGAGAAAGUACCCCACAUACCUAGCACCUCCUGUUACAUCACUGAAGGAAACAGGAUGUGUUGUCUUCACUAAUUAGACCUGGGAAUUCUCCGGGGCCUCGGAAGGGCUUCCUCUGAACCCGCUGUGCGCCGUGGCUGCCGGCUGCUGGGUCCCCAGCCCUGAGCACACGGGCCUGGGGAAACCCGGGCCCCGCAGGUCCACCCGGACCCACCUGACCGUUGACUGCGUAACCACUGCCGAAAGGGGAGGGAUCAACGGAAAUGGCGGAACUCUCACAAAUGCAGGCUCCCCACAGCCGGUUUAUGAUCAGUCCACAAGCCCAACUUUAAAGGGGGACGUCUAUGAGGAUUCAUCUGCUGCCCCAAGAUCUCCCGGGAGAAGUGACUCCCUCAGCUCCAGACUGGAGCUCCCCUGGACCCUCCUGCGCAUUGCAGGGACCCACCUUCUGCAGCACACAGGGCCCUGUUUCAAAGCGGGGCUGGCGAGUGGCGGCUCGUGCCCAGGACUUCAGGAGGUGCAGGGAAUGGCCCCCGGCCUCCCCUCACCACAAGAGACCCUCUCACUGCCGUGCCCGAGUACCAGUCCUCUUCCCUGCGACUGGGGGAGCGGUGGGGACUACCAGAGAUCCUGCUCCAUUCUCCCUGCCACUGAGUUGCGUUUAUCGAGCACCUGCUGUAUGCUGUUUACUCAGAGCUAGGUGUGGGAAGAAGCAGAGUCGGGGACCACUCAGGGGCAGCUCCAGCUCCUUGCAGAAGGUCUGCAGGAAGCACUGACAACCCUCCAGGGGCUGCGGACUGGGAGGGCUGGCAGUGGGAAGUGCAGUCAGGGGUUGAGUCAGGGGCUGCAUCUGGUUGAGGGCAGGAGGAGGAAGGAGAGAAGGAGAAAGGGGUGCUGGGGUAGCCGGGAAGAGGGCCAGCACAGGGCCUGGGCCGGGUUGAGGCUGGACAGGUGGUGGCAUAGGUGCCCUUGGACCGAGGUGGUCAGCAACCACCCGGGACUCCGAUGUGCAGGGUAUGGAGCCCCACCAGACAGAACAAGCAGAGGCUGAUUGCACAAGGCCUGCUGCGUCUGGGCAGCUGGAGACUCAGGCGGGCACAGGAGCCACAGGUUCUGGCUGGAAAGGAGGCCUGGUGCACCCUGAAGGCCAUGGCCAGGGAGGUGGCCCUCCCAGGGGCCUGCUGUGGGCAGGUGGAGGCGCCUUCUGCUUUCUCUGGUUGGUCCCACAUUAGGAGGAACGAUGAUGUCAGUUGCAGGCCACUUCCUGGCAGUUGGGCCUACGCCCUAGAGGUCUCUGCCUCCUAGAGGGUGCCUGGACACGGGGCCUGGCUCCCAGUGGGUCCCAGGGCGGCUGCUGGGCCCAGGUUGUGUAUUGGACCAGGGGUCUGCUUGCUCGGCAGCCUGUCCUACCUGUGAGUCCGAGUUCUGUUUUCCCACGUGGCCUGGCCUUUGUCCUUUUGUGUAUUCGGUCUUGCAGAAGCAGGAGGAGGACAUAAUUAGAUUUGUGUUAAGCAAGACCCCCUGUCUGGGCUGAGGCUGCCUUCUGGAUGGAGGCCGGACCCAACUUGUGGCUGGGACCUGGUGUGGGAGAGGCACCGAUUGUCCCCUGCCUUCCUGCAUAGCUCCCUCUGCAGUGGCCACCCAGGCCAGUCACCUAUGAGCAGUGAGGGUCCUUAGAGAAGGUCCCCGUGCCACCACCCCGUGAGCAGCGAGGGUCCUUAGAGAAGGUCCCCGUGCCACCACCCCGUGAGCAGCGGGGGUCCUUAGAGAAGGUCCCCGUGCCACCACCCCGUGAGCAGUGAAGGUCCUUAGAGAGAAGGUCCCCGUGCCACCACCCCGUGAGCAGCGAGGGUCCUUAGAGAAGGUCCCCGUGCCACCACCCCGUGAGCAGUGAGGAUCCUUAGAGAAUGUCCCCGUGCCACCACCCCGUGAGCAGUGAAGGUCCUUAGAGAGAAGGUCCCCGUGCCACCACCCUGUGAGCAGUGAGGGUCCUUAGAGAAGGUCCCCGUGCCACCACCCUGUGAGCAGUGAGGGUCCUUAGAGAAGGUCCCCGUGCCACCACCCUGCAAGAGUCUGAGGCAUCCAAGCAUGUGGCAGUGGACAGAGCGUCAGGGCACAGAGGGUGCACAGAGUAGGUGUGCUUGGGGUGCUCGGUGUGCACAGUGUGGGGCUCUGUGGCCAGAGGCCAUGCCCUGGCCAAGGCCUUCACCUCCGUCAAGCGAUAAGCGUGGCAGCUCCAGGGUUGAAUGCCAGUCACGCUUUAUUUGUAAGUAUUUACUCACUUGGCCAAAGGUCAACCGGCUCGGCCAGCGGAGGCUUGGGGACCCGGGCUCCUGCAGACCCCAGGCACUGAGCGCAUGCAUGCUUGUCCCAGCCGAGUCACAGUGCCCGCGGCAGCUGUGCACCACUCCAGGAGGACCCGGGCUUCUGCAGGAGCUCCUCCCCCGGAGCAGAUGAGGCCAGCACUGCACCGUCACACCAGCUGCUCAGGUGGACACCAGGUGACCGAGACCCUCUCACGGUGAAGAUGCGCACACCUGAUCUUACAUGUCCUCUAGACACAAGGAGGUCACCAGGGGAUCCCAGGGCCUGCGGCAGAGAGGUGCCACGCACCUGGGUACCUCUGAGGCUGCGGCCCAGCUGAUCCUGGCUACCGCUGACUCUCUACCACUUGUUUUUAACCAGUGUACGUGACCAAUAAUCCAUAUCUACCUGCUGCCUUCCACCAGCCCUUCCCCAGCCUCCUUCCUGCUGCUGACAACUCUGCGAGGUAGACGAGGUGGGCAUGUGGCACCCUGGCUGCAUCCUGGAGCCGAAGAGCAGGGCAGAAAUGAGCACCUGUGUGGCUCCAGAUCCAGCCCCGCCCCACCCUGGGAGUCUGUCCCCACACACCUCUUGGUCCCUGUUGGCAGUGGAGACCAUGGUGUCAGGAGCCACACUAGCUGUCCUCUUCCUCAGUCCGGGUGGCCCUUGGGGCAGCUUUGAAUGUGACACUCAGGGACAGUCCUGCUUUGCUCAGACUGUGUCCUGUGGGAGUGGCCUGAGUCUGGGGAUCCCGACACCCCUUCUGCCUCUACCCUAGGAAUAACCGGAGGUGGGGCAGGACUGUCCACAGGAGCCUGUUGCCACACACCUGCAGGUCACUCUGAACUUCCCAGGACCCCAGAGAGCCUGGACCAAGGGGGACAGAUGCCCCCAACCAGCCGCAGAGUCUCACUGCUGGACAGCAGCCCCCGCUGGUGGCGAGGCUGACCGUUCUCAGGACGAGGCUGGGGGCACGGCGUGGAAUGCUCAUUCCUGGAGGGCGGCGGGCUCUCUCUGCCUGGGAACUUCAGCGGGGGCCCUGGUGCAUGUCCGUGUUAGGUCCCCGGCUCUGACUGCAGCCCCACGCCAGCUCUGCCCUACACGGAGGCCACGGGGACCCGGCUCUGGGUGCUGGCGUGACGCUGCUGAGCUGCGCCUCCCGUCUGUCCGACCCCCUCUGCUGCCGACUGGGCCCGACUCAGUGCUGGGGAUGGAAUCCAGGGCUUCACGUGUGCUGGGCAAGCGCUGACCACUGAGCAGCACCCCGCCUAAGGAUGCUUUCAACCACGAUACACGGGUGCGUUUCUUCCUUCCCCUCCCGUCAUGCCUCAGCAGGAGCAUCGGUCAGUUCCGGCGUGGCUCCCAGUCUGUGUGCAAAGGGAAAGCUCCUUCUCAGAACUAGGCUGGACACCUGGCCCUUUGCAGGACUCUCCGUCUGCAAGCCGUCCCUGACACCGCAGCCAAGGCCUAGGGGCCACGGAGGCCUCCCUGCACCGCAGGAAUGGAAGCAGAAGGGCCGGCGGAUGCUGGCACAGCCCCACCCUGUCUUCUGUCAGGUGCGCCCUCGGCUGUCUGUCCCACGGGACCCCCCAGGCAAACCCUUGGCUGCAGAGCUGCUCCUUACCCAGAAGACAGCCUGCCCAGCAGGUCCAGGAGAAGGAGCCGCAGCCCACACGGUGACUCGCGCACGCUCGCAGCACCGUGCAGACAUUGGAAGGAUGGGUUUGGAUAUCUCAACGGGAAAAUGAAGACGGAAUGAUAUUCAAAAAUCUAAAAUGGCAGAGUGGAAAAUCAGAAUAGAAAAUCGUGGUGACGGGAAAUUUUAGCUAAGAGAAAAUGUAUGCAUGUGAGAAAUGGUAAUAGAUUCGCUCUUUUCAUCAGGAUGGAAACGUGCUUUUUGUGCAAGUUUUCUGUGACAUUUUCUUCUUUUUUGAUGUUCUGUUUUUACAGCUGAACAGUGUAUUUAGGUAAUGAAAGGACAUGCUUUGUGCGAUUGUGUGGUGAGUCCCGCACCUGCCUGAGCAGAGGCAGCCUGUGGACGGGCUGGCGACUGACGCCUCGCUGUGAAUGCGGGUGCCAGUUCUGGCCACAGACAGGCGUGUGGGCCGGGCGCAGGUACGCGGCACCACGCUUGGUGUGGCGGGUGGCUCACUGCUCGGCCCACUCCUUGUCCUCGAGGCACAGUCUUAAGUUAGCAUCCGUUGUCUCUGGGCCUGCGAGGGCUGCUGUUGCUAAGCGCCACGGUGGGUGCUUGACAACCGAGAAGUGCCGUCCACAGCUCAGGAGCCGGUGUCUGGGGCUGGGGCUGGGGAGCUGCUCCUUCGUGGCUGAGGAGGGUCUCCCAGACCUGGGCUCACAGGUGCCCGGGUCUCCCAGUCUGCCACACCAUUUGCUCUGUGUGCCUGUCCACCUCUGUGUCCUCAUUGCCCUUUCUGGGAGGACACCAGUCAUGUUGCAGCCAGCCACCCUAGGACCUCCCUAAGCCAGCCUCUGUGGAGGCCCCGUGCGGAGGUCCAGGGUGGGACUCCCUCUACCCUUCUGAGGGCAGACAUGAACAACCCACGAGGGCCUCUUCUCCCAAGACUGAAAACCCCUAGGACAGGAAGAGUCCCACUGGCCCCUUACACAUGGGAACUAAGAAGAGGAGUCUGCAGAGGAUGACAGUCCAGCAGCAGCAGGCCGUGAGCUGGACUGGGGUGGACUCUGCUGUUGGCCUUCGCCCUCCCGCUGGGUCCAAGCCGCGCCGGCCCCUCAGCCCUCUCUCUGAAGAAGGGGCUGUGGCAGGAGCCGUGGUGUCCAGAAUCUCACGCUUCAGUGUGCAGAAUGCAGGCAACAACCGCAGACACCACUUCCAGAGAGGCGAGGCGUUUCUGGGUAGAAAUACGAAUCUGAGGGAGCAGUUCAGUUGUCUGUUUCAGUGACCCCCAAAGUAGGAAGAGCUGACUCUGCAAGGCACCCCGGCCGGGAGCGUGGGCUAGUGCUGGGAGCCCCGUGCCCCCCAACCCUGCUCUCAGUCCACACCCUCACCUGGCGAGGGCCAGACGCGGCCACGAGCUCCGUGCCCGCCCAGCCCGGGUGACUGUAGGCCCAACGUCCCCUGUGCCUAGGGAAGAGCGUGGUCCAGAGUCUUCUGUCAGGUGAAGCACCCCAGAGAAGGGCAAGAGAGUGCCGCAGGGCCUGGGGCGAGCGCGAGGGCUCCGCAGGCCAGGGCAACGGACAGAGAGGAGAGGAGGCAUCGGCCACCCUGCACUGAGCCCCGGCUGCGGCCAGCUGUGCUUCAGAAGGUGGUCAUGCAGGGCCAGCACGGCACCCUUUCAGGGAGAGGCCAGCCGUUCAGCUGCAGGGCUUGGCUGCAGGCGGGCCACAUGUCAGCGCCCGCGAGUUCUGCGAGGACGCAGGCAGCGGGGCAGGAAGAGCCCAGACAGGCAGAGUGACACUGAGGCCCUGUCCCCUCUGCAGGAAACUCGACUCAAGUGGACUGAGCACCAACCACCAGACCAGGCCUGCGCCUGCUGGAAGGAAAUGUAGGCCCGACUCUCCAACUUGUUGGCUUCGGAACCGACCUCCUCCGCAGGACUCCUGACGCACAAGGAGAGAGGUCAUCCUGGGUAACAGGCUGCAAACGCAAGGCGGCGGCGGCGGAGUGGACAGAGUUGGCUCAGGCCUGGCCCUUCUGCAGGAAUCACGCUCUGGAGGCCUCCCGGCCGGCGGCCCAGCCCGGCAGGGCACACACCCUCCGUCACCACAGAGCACACGCACUCUGAAGUAUCACCCAGCUUGCUUUAGUUCACUGUUUAUCCACAAAUAAUUACUCAUAAAAUCUAUUCGCUUGGUCCUUCUUUUGGGACUUUGGGGUUUGCUUUUGUGGUGGAACAACAUGCUGCUAUUUAAGUAAAGCCUAAGUGGUCCCAAGAGCCCAGCCACCUUACGAGCCUCACGUGGUGCAGGCUGGGAGGCCUGCCUUCCUGCAGACGCACGCGCCUCCCCAGACCUGUACCAGGCCGGCUCUGCCCUGCCUCCAGAUGGGACCCUGCCCAGCUGAAGGUGCGACCCCUGGCCCCACCUGCCCAGGCGCUGCCAGCACUCCCCUGCCAGCAGCCCGGGCUGCGGGAGCUGGCAGGCCCUGCGGCGGCCUCAGCGCCUCCUGGCUCAACGCAUUUGGUUGGGGCUCGGGCACAGGUUCCUAAAGCCACCCCAGAAGGUCGUCUGGGGCAGCCUGGGUGGAGGACGCCGCUGUCACCCCUGGACCCAAGAUUGACAGACACAGCCCACUGGCUCCUGGUGCGGGGGCAGGGCACAGCCUCAGGAUGCCAGCAGUUUGCCCAUGUCGCAGCAGUGGGCCCAGGACUGUGCCCAGAUGGCCUGGCUGAGCACACUGCCCCCCCAUCUCCCCAUCUCUGCAGCUCUCACCUACCUGCACCAGAGGAACUGCACCUCCCCUCGCAGUGUAGACUGCGGGUGCUGCGUCAGGCAUGGACGUGCAGGGCAUUGUCUCCGGGAGAAUUCCAGUGAGGAUGCCUUCUGGAACUUUCCAAGGGCUUGGGACAAAUGAGAACAUGAACAGCCUGCUCACAGGGAGGGAAGAUGCUCAGAUGCACAGCCACACUGAGACCCUACUGGGCUCAGUCCCACGGCUUCCACCUCACCGGGCACCAAGCGCAUGGGGGUCUGCAUGGCCGCCCAGGCCCCCUCAGCACCCACCUCCUUCAGCCCUCGCCAGCCGCAGGGUGCCAGGCCCCCUGGGCUAUGUCAGGGAAGAGGACACAGGACCAGAGUAGUGUGCAGAGCCGGUGGCAGCAUGUGGGUGAGGAAGGACGUGGAACGACUGUGCUCCUGCACGAGGCUCUCGGUGGCCCUCGGGGCCAGGCCAGCUCGAUCCUCGGCCUGCGGUCCUCUGCGAGCUUCAGAUCUAACACUCUUCCACGCUUCCUCCUGCUGCUCCCGUGGCCUGAGGCCUUCCUUGUCACUUAAGAAAUAGCAUUUUAAACUUGUGAAGCAGCAGUGUUGAAGUCACGUGCGGUUAAGAAGGAAAAGUGGUUUCUAAACCCCAGAGGCCUGGGAGGAGGGAAGGGCAGCACACAGGCCCCGAUGGCCAGUCCAGCGGGCGGCAGGACUCCAGCAGCGAGGCCAGACCCAGCGCUGUGCUGAGCACACUCUGGGGCCGAGGAGCAGCUCUGAACCAACCUCUGCCCCUGACUGCAGAGAGCAGGCCAGGAGGGUGGCCCUGCCCAGAGGCAGGGCAGGAGAGCAGUAGGAGUGCGCGGCAGGGCUGGACGCUCCCUCGCAGCCACGUGGCUCUGGAGGCACGGACCCCGCUGGUACUCAUUUUUCUGGUUUAUGAAGAGGAUGACCAAAGAAUGUGUAUAAUUUUAAAAAGAAAUUCAGAGAUGGUGCAAUGUGUCUACGGCUCAGAAAUCCCUGGUCUUGGUCUUCAUCUGCAACCCCUGUAGAUUUCCA